rnacentral:rRNA from 1 species
AGAGUUUGAUCAUGGCUCAGGAUGAACGCUGGCGGCGUGCUUAACACAUGCAAGUCGAACGAAGCACUUUUGCUGAGACCUUCAGGUGGAUUUAAAAGUGACUGAGUGGCGGACGGGUGAGUAACGUGUGGGUAACCUGCCUCACACAGGGGGAUAACAGUUAGAAAUGACUGCUAAUACCGCAUAAGCGCACGGUCUCGCAUGGGACAGUGUGAAAAACUCCGGUGGUGUGAGAUGGACCCGCGUCUGAUUAGCUAGUUGGUGGGGUAACGGCCUACCAAGGCGACGAUCAGUAGCCGACCUGAGAGGAUGAUCGGCCACAUUGGGACUGAGACACGGCCCAAACUCCUACGGGAGGCAGCAGUGGGGAAUAUUGGGCAAUGGAGGAAACUCUGACCCAGCAACGCCGCGUGGAGGAAGAAGGUUUUCGGAUCGUAAACUCCUGUCCUUGGAGACGAGUAGAAGACGGUAUCCAAGGAGGAAGCCCCGGCUAACUACGUGCCAGCAGCCGCGGUAAUACGUAGGGGGCAAGCGUUGUCCGGAAUAAUUGGGCGUAAAGGGCGCGUAGGCGGCUCGGUAAGUCUGGAGUGAAAGUCCUGCUUUUAAGGUGGGAAUUGCUUUGGAUACUGUCGGGCCUGAGUGCAGGAGAGGUUAGUGGAAUUCCCAGUGUAGCGGUGAAAUGCGUAGAGAUUGGGAGGAACACCAGUGGCGAAGGCGACUAACUGGACUGUAACUGACGCUGAGGCGCGAAAGUGUGGGGAGCAAACAGGAUUAGAUACCCUGGUAGUCCACACUGUAAACGAUGAAUGCUAGGUGUAGGGGGUAUCGACCCCUUCUGUGCCGCAGUCAACACAAUAAGCAUUCCGCCUGGGGAGUACGGCCGCAAGGUUGAAACUCAAAGGAAUUGACGGGGGCCCGCACAAGCAGCGGAGCAUGUGGUUUAAUUCGACGCAACGCGAAGAACCUUACCAGGUCUUGACAUCCACUUAAACUUACAGAGAUGUAAGGUGUGCUUGCACAAAGUGAGACAGGUGGUGCAUGGUUGUCGUCAGCUCGUGUCGUGAGAUGUUGGGUUAAGUCCCGCAACGAGCGCAACCCUUAUCUUCAGUUACUAACGCGUGAGGGUGAGGACUCUGAAGAGACUGCCGGGGACAACUCGGAGGAAGGUGGGGACGACGUCAAAUCAUCAUGCCCCUUAUGACCUGGGCUACACACGUGCUACAAUGGCCACGACAGAGAGAAGCGAAAUCGCAAGGUAGAGCGGAACUCAAAAAAGUGGUCCCAGUUCGGAUUGUGGGCUGCAACCCGCCCACAUGAAGUCGGAGUUGCUAGUAAUCGCGGAUCAGCAUGCCGCGGUGAAUACGUUCCCGGGCCUUGUACACACCGCCCGUCACACCAUGGGAGUUGGGAGUGCCCAAAGCCGGUGAGGCAACCGCAAGGAGCCAGCCGUCUAAGGCAAGACCAAUGACUGGGGUGAAGUCGUAACAAGGUA